UACGGAGGGUGCGAGCGUUGUCCGGAAUCAUUGGGCGUAAAGGGCGCGUAGGUGGCCCGGUCAGUCAGUGGUGAAAGCCCGGGGCUCAACCCCGGGUCGGCCGUGGCAACUACUCGGCUCGAGCACUGUAGGGGCGGGUGGAAUUCCGGGUGUAGCGGUGGAAUGCGUAGAGAUCCGGAGGAACACCAGUGGCGAAAGCGACUUUCUGGUCCUUAACUGACGCUGAGGCGCGAAAGCAUGGGGAGCGAACGGG
rnacentral:rRNA from 1 species